rnacentral:misc_RNA from 1 species
UGAUUAGAAGGGUUUAGCGGAAGUAGCAAUGGCACCAGCUAAAGCUGACAGUUCAAAGAAGCCUGAUCCAAAGGCACAGGCUGCCAAGGUUGCAAAAGCGGUGAAGUCUGGUCCAACCUUCAAGAAGAAGGCCAAUAAGAUCAGAACUAAGGUUACAUUUCAUCGCCCAAAGACAUUGAAGAAGGAGAGGAAUCCCAAGUACCCUCGCAUUAGUGCUCCACCAAGGAACAAGCUUGAUCAUUAUCAGAUCUUGAAAUUUCCUCUCACUACUGAGUCAGCUAUGAAAAAGAUCGAGGACAACAAUACCCUUGUCUUCAUAGUUGAUAUUCGUGCUGACAAGAAAAAGAUCAAGGAUGCAGUCAAGAAGAUGUAUGAUAUUCAGGCCAAGAAAGUUAAUACCUUGAUCAGGUUGUUCCUUAAUCCUUAUUUUUCUAUGGAGAAGUGACCAAAUGUUUAAUGUGAAUUUGUGAGGCUUAGCAUAAUUUUUCUGUGCUUUUAUUGCCUAUUGUGCAGAAGUUCUUGAAGACUUAACUAUUUGCAGAAUCUCAUGUUGAUGGCAUUAGCCAAUAAUUAUUUUCCUUUUUCUUUUCACCUAUUUUUUUGAUAACAAUGAACAACCCCUGGAGUGUGGGUAUAUAGGAUAUAUAUAAGCAAAUAUAGGGAUUUUUAUGUCCUGCAUCUGCAUAGUAGGACACAGCCAUCACAAGAACGUGUUGAGAAUAAACUAAACUGUGAUAAUUAGAUAUUCAUGCAUGCAAUACAAGCAACUCUUGAUCUGACUAUUACUCAUCAUUGAGGCCCUUGUAUAAUCUUACUUCAUGUAAUAAAAUAUUGCUUCCUUUUUUUUUUUUUGCAUAAAUUGGAAUCUGAGAUUCUGGAUGUUUAAGCUGAUCAAUUUGAAAAUGGAUUUCCUUGAAAUUGCUAAUGGUAACAUAUGAAUCAUAAUGUUGUAUUAAGUUGUGUUUCUUUUUUGUUAUUUUUUCUAUUCAGCAUAUGUCUACAAACUUGUUCUAAAUUAACCUUUUGUAUUCCAGGCCUGAUGGGACGAAGAAAGCGUAUGUCAGGUUGACGCCAGACUUUGAUGCCUUGGAUGUGGCAAACAAAAUAGGAAUCAUUUAAAUUAGUUACUGGCUUUCUCUUUCUAGUUUUCGUCAUUUUGUUUUGUUUCAGAGUAAGGUAUUUUUGUUGUGACAUCAAGCAGAGAGAUUUGCUAAAUUACUUCAAACUUGUAAACUUGUGGUACUGCUUUCUGGUUA